GAUGAACGCUAGCUACAGGCUUAACACAUGCAAGUCGAGGGGAAACGGCAUUGAGUGCUUGCACUCUUUGGACGUCGACCGGCGCACGGGUGAGUAACGCGUAUCCAACCUUCCCAUUACUGUGGGAUAACCUGCCGAAAGGCAGACUAAUACCGCAUUGUCUUCGAUGACGGCAUCAGAUUUGAAGUAAAGAUUUAUCGGUAAUGGAUGGGGAUGCGUCUGAUUAGCUUGUGGGCGGGGUAACGGCCCACCAAGGCUACGAUCAGUAGGGGUUAUGAGAGGAAGGUCCCCCACAUUGGAAGUGAGACACGGUCCAAACUCCUACGGGAGGCAGCAGUGAGGAAUAUUGGUCAAUGGACGGAAGUCUGAACCAGCCAAGUAGCGUGCAGGAUGACGGCCCUAUGGGUUGUAAACUGCUUUUGUAUGGGGAUAAAGUUAGGGACGUGUCCC
rnacentral:rRNA from 1 species